CCUACGGGUGGCAGCAGUAGGGAAUAUUGCGCAAUGGGGGAAACCCUGAAGCAGCAACGCCGCGUGGAGGAUGAAGGUUUUCGGAUUGUAAACUCCUGUUGUUAGAGAAGAAAAUGACGGUAUCUAACGAAUAAGCACCGGCUAACUCCGUGCCAGCAGCCACGGUAAUACGGAGGGUGCAAGCGUUACUCGGAAUCACUGGGCGUAAAGAGCGCGUAGGCGGGAUAGCAAGUCAGAUGUGAAAUCCUAGGGCUUAACCAGAGAACUGCAUUUGAAACUGUUAUUCUAGAGUAUGGGAGAGGUAAGUGGAAUUCUUGGUGUAGGGGUGAAAUCCGUAGAGAUCAAGAGGAAUACUCAUUGCGAAGGCGACCUGCUAGAACAUAACUGACGCUGAUGCGCGAAAGCGUGGGGAGCAAACAGGAUUAGAUACCCCUGUAGUC
rnacentral:rRNA from 1 species